AACGCGAAGAACCUUACCAACCCUUGACAUCCUGUGCUACUACCAGAGAUGGUACGUUCCCUUCGGGGACGCAGUGACAGGUGCUGCAUGGCUGUCGUCAGCUCGUGUCGUGAGAUGUUCGGUUAAGUCCGGCAACGAGCGCAACCCACAUCUUUAGUUGCCAUCAGGUUAUGCUGGGCACUCUAGAGAAACUGCCCGUGAUAAGCGGGAGGAAGGUGUGGAUGACGUCAAGUCCUCAUGGCCCUUACGGGUUGGGCUACACACGUGCUACAAUGGCAGUGACAAUGGGUUAAUCCCAAAAAACUGUCUCAGUUCGGAUUGGGGUCUGCAACUCGACCCCACGAAGUCGGAAUCGCUAGUAAUCGCGUAACAGCAUGACGCGGUGAAUACGUUCCCGGGUCUUGUACACACCGAAU
rnacentral:rRNA from 1 species